rnacentral:rRNA from 1 species
UCUCGGCUCUCGCAUCGAUGAAGAACGUAGCGAAAUGCGAUACUUGGUGUGAAUUGCAGAAUCCCGUGAACCAUCGAGUCUUUGAACGCAAGUUGCGCCCGAAGCCAUUAGGUCGAGGGCACGCCUGCCUGGGCGUCACGCAUCGCGUCUCCCCCCAACCAC